GGAGCGGGCUAGACGGCCGCGCGCGUUCACGCGUGAGGAAAGUCCGGACUCCACAGGGCAGGGUGCAGGCUAACAGCCUGGCGGGGCGACCCGACGGAAAGUGCCACAGAAAAGAAAACUCCCCCGCGCACGCGGGAGAAAAGCUGAAACGGUGCGGCAAGAGCGCACCAGCGUCACGGUGACGUGGCGGCUUGGCAAACCCCACCCGGAGCAAGGGCGAAUAGGAGCGGUCAAGGCUGGCCCGGCCGUCGCUCGGGUAUGCCCGCUCGAGGCCGUCGGCAACGGCGGUCCCAGAUAGAUGGCCGUCCUCGACAGAAUCCGGCUUACAGGCCCGCUCCUCGC
rfam:Coriobacteriaceae bacterium EMTCatB1 DNA, scaffold1.